AAAGAAUGAAAGAUAGGAAGCAAUCCUCUCACCCCUUCCUCCUGUCCCCGAAUCCUCGUCUCCUUCCUCUCGUCUAGAUCACCUCCGCCAUCUCCCCUAUGAGGACCACACCGCCACCAGGAGCGCCAACUCCAUCUCUGGGUGUUGCUCCCAUCAUGAAUCCCAAAUUGGGGGUGCGGGAAAAGCGGACGAAGCUCCCCCUACUGUUGUCUGAUCCAGUAGUGGCCAUGGUCGACCAUUGGAGUGGCGCUCCUGGCCUCUGCCGUUCUUGUCGCGAGGGCUCGUGGUCCAGGGACUUGUGGCGCCGCCUUUCCAUCUACCGGCGGAGGAGCUCGAGGAGCUACAACUACCUCGACACUGUCACAUCACUGCAAUAAGAUGCUGGAUCUCUAUUCUCCAUGGAUUCCUGGAUGAGCUUUGUCCAAUUACUACUGACAAGCGAAUGUGCUAUGGAAGAUGUGCAUACUACGUACAGUAGGAGCUGAUGCAUGUGAGCUUGAUGUUGGAGUGAGAUUUCUGAUUGAUUGCAUUGUCACGAUGAAGCAAAGGGAAUCCUUGGUGGGGAGUCCAUUGUUCAAAAGGAGAUGAGGUGAAGCAUCCCCAGCUCUUCCAGCCGCCCUCAAUACACGAUUAGGCUCUCGCCCCGCUUUAUAAAUAAAGCCAACACAGUCAUACAAGAUUCAGAUCCAACACGAUGAGGACAACACACACAACAACAACAGUCUGCUGGGACAACAACAUAACAUGCCCAGAGGAACUAGAAAAGCGAUACAACCCCAAAAGAAGAGGCCACUCAGAGGCUAGACGACGUAGAAAGGCGACGGGCCGCCGCAAGAAGAUCCUCCAACAUGUCGUCCAGGCGCUCCUUGUCCUGCUGUCUACACAGCGGGUACCACUGCUGCAACAAAGCCAAGAAAGAGAAUAAGGAGUCAGAAGCGCGUCGAGGCAGGAUACGCUCAAUGACCAACUUAUUACGCACAGUCCACAAGGUCCAGGUCAAGGCCGCGAACAAUAACCAGAAGAGGCGCCUCCUCCUACCGGUGUUGUUCGCAUGGGCCUCGAUGAACUCCCCGAGGUCUGAGGCCU